GGACCUCCAAUCAGUCAAGAACACCCG
rnacentral:rRNA from 1 species